rnacentral:ncRNA from 1 species
UGAAGUGGGGAAAUGUUCCAUAUGAACAUCACUUGGACAUGGCCGGUUAGUUGAUCCUAAGAGAUAGGGAAUCCUUGUAUCAAGGGUGCACUUUUCAUGAACAUCGAAAGAGAAUUGGGUUAAUAUUCCUGAACCGAGGCAUGGUGGUGGACGACAAUGUUAAGAAAUUUGGAGAUGUCAUCGGGGGCCUAGGAAGAGUUAUCUUUCCUUUUUAACGAAUUUCCUACCCUAAAAUCGGUUCAAUCGGAGAUAGGGUGGUGUUUGGUGCCCCCUCGAUGGCCAUUGUAAAUAUGGUGAAUUGAGUACCAUACAUGCCCGAUCGUACUCAUAUCUGCCUCCUUGGAUUUUUCAAUGUCCACUA